UACAUAGGGUGCGAGCGUUAAUCGGAAAUACUGGGCGUAAAGCGUGCGCAGGCGGCUUGCCAAGUCAGAUGUGAAAGCCCCGGGCUUAACCCGGGAACGGCGUUUGAAACUGGCAGGCUAGAGUUUGGCAGAGGGGGGUGGAAUUCCACGUGUAGCAGUGAAAUGCGUAGAGAUGUGGAGGAACACCGAUGGCGAAGGCAGCCCCCUGGGCCAAAACUGACGCUCAGGCACGAAAGCGUGGGGAGCAAAUGGG
rnacentral:rRNA from 1 species